CUUUUAUUGGAAAGGAUGAAUGAGUCAGUGAUGUUUUGAGUUUGGUACAUAUUGAUGUAUUUGCACUCAUGAACAUAAAUACUAGAGGAGGGCUUACUACUUCAUUAAAAUCUUUGACAAUCUAUUUUGGUGUGGGUGUGUCUUGCUUAUGAAGCACAAGUCCAAUCGAUUGAAGUGUUCAAAUGAUUCCACAAUGAGGUAGAAAAAUAAACUACAAAGAGCAUUAGAACUCAUCAGUU
rnacentral:lncRNA from 1 species